GUAAAACGGGGUUCGCUAUAUUUCAGGCGAAGGACCACUUGGAUGCCAUUCCUAUUGACGGAGAGGGCAGCGGUUCGAGCAAUGAGAGGGACGAUACAACAGGUACCGCAAGCAUGAACACUUCCAGCACUAGAAGCGGUGAGAAUUGACCGUCAUCCACUAAGGGCCAUAAGGGAAAGUAGAAGAAAAUUUCUGCUCGUGAGUUGUCCUACUCCGUAUAUUGAGCUACC
rnacentral:lncRNA from 1 species